CGGGUGAUGGAGUUUCCCUGGCGGGACCUGCCUCUGUGCCCCUGCGCCCCUUCCCCGGCAGGUGUCCCGGGAGCGAACGCCGAGGACGAGGACAGCGCGGCCGAGCCGGGGCCCCUGCGCAGACGACCGGAGCCGGCGAGAAGCUGGGGAGCGCCGGGGAGAAUGAUAGAUGCCGUCAUCCCGGUUUUCAGAGGACGGGGCGGUCUUCCUGACUACGGAGCCAUGUGAUGCUGUGGCCCGGGGCCCCGCGAAGAAGGGGAGCCAGCGAGGAAGCACGAGGUCCAGUGCAAAUACCGGCAGUGGCGGUGGGAAACUGAAGCGGAGCUGCGUCCCAGCCGCCUGGCCUUCCUCGUGCUCUCACGUCCCAGAGCGUACACGUAAGCCGUCUCCGAGGGACAAGGUCCUGAGCCUGUGGCAUUUUGUCAGGCUGGCCGGAGUGGUGCCAUGUGCUGCGGAGCACAGGCCAGGUAGACGCCAGAGGUGACCACGCCGACUCCCCGCGUGCCGUCGCUCCUGCCGCGGGCCCCAUGAGAAGCGCAGUGGACAGGAGGAAGCUGGAGCAGCUGUACGACAGGUACAGAGACCCACAAGAUGAAAAUAAAAUUGGAAUUGACGGGAUUCAACAGUUUUGUGAUGACUUAAGCCUGGAUCCUGCCAGCGUCAGCGUUUUGGUCAUUGCGUGGAAAUUCAGGGCAGCGACGCAAUGUGAAUUUACCAAAAAGGAAUUUGUAGAUGGCAUGACAGAGCUCGGGUGUGACAGCACGGAGAAGCUGAGGGCCCUUCUGCCAAGGCUGGAGCAGGAACUGAAGGACACGGCGAAGUUUAAGGAUUUUUAUCAGUUUACCUUCACCUUUGCUAAGAACCCCGGGCAGAAGGGUUUAGAUUUAGAAAUGGCUGUUGCAUACUGGAAUUUGGUGUUAUCUGGAAGGUUUAAAUUUUUAGAUCUUUGGAACAGCUUUUUAUUGGAACAUCACAAAAGAUCAAUCCCAAGGGACACUUGGAACCUUCUGCUAGAUUUUGGAAAUAUGAUUGCAGAUGAUAUGUCUAACUAUGACGAAGAAGGUACGGGAAGUUGUAGUGCUUCAGAUGAUGUCCAGAAAUGCUGAUGUGCAGACUGCUGGGGGCAGGACGGUGGUGACCGGCUCCAGCUGCCUCUGGGCCCCGCCCCUCAGUGCAGUGGGGGUGGUGGUGAUGACAGUCUUACCCUCUUUUUAUGUCUUGUCAACCACACGAGAAAAAUAGGGCUUCGUAUUUAGUUUAAUUUAGGAGGACAACCCCCUAAAUAAACUAAAGCAUUUCAAAAGUGGAUGUGCAGAGAGCCCUGCGGCAGAGCCGUGGGACCAAACGGGUUUGGAAGCCGCUCUUCCGGGUACGUAAUCCUGGGUGGCGCCUCAGGCUAGGCAUUCUACCAUGUGAAGAUUCCAGCUGGUAUAACAUGAUCACAUAUUCAUGGUCCCCACCCUGAGAUGUUUGAGGACAGCCGGUCAGGGAGCAUGUAUGUGCCCGCCACCAUGGGCACUGUGCCGCUUUAGGGAAGGACACAGUCUCAGCCUGCCCACUGCAUGCUCCCUCAGCGCCCAGCUUGGAGGCGACCGCUCUGGGGCACCUGUGGUGUUGCAUGUCUGUGUGCGUCCCCAGCACUCAGCACAGAGCGGGCACUUAAUAAACGUGAAUAGUUGACCAUAGACAGAAGCCCAGGGAGUGUGGCUGCGGUGGCGAGACGUGGCUGGUCUGCAGAGGAGGGGCCGGCAGCUUACAGUGAGUGUGUUCCUGGCCAGCGGGGUUGGGGUGGUCCGGGCUACCUGGGGGUGGUGGGGAGGCUGGGCCUGGAGAGGGAACCGGCCCAGGGAAAAAAGGGUGCAGUGUUUUGCAGGGCGGGUGGAAGGCCCUGUGCCUGGUCCCGACUGCCUGGAACAGGGGCCCGGGCCUUGCAGCCGGCCGGCCCCGAGUGCCUGGUCGCUAGAGGCCACGUCCGCACGGGAGCACCAGUGCUGGCCUGGGGUCUGGCUACAGCAAGAGGAAUGGAUCUCACUGGCAAUCCCUCCAGAGAGAUGGGCUGUGAGACGACUCACUUGAGCUCCUGAAACACAAAUAUUGACUGCAGAAAGAAUGCUCUGGAUAUAAAAAUACUGCUCUAGACUGAUGUUCAUGUGAACGUGCUUUCACGGUUCCUGACAUGCUGCAGUCUGCAUGGUGACAGCACCCGUCACCAUGGGAUUCCAGGAACAUUUUAUCAUGUACUGUUUACAAGUCAGCUGGUCUGUCCUGUCCACUGUCAUUUGAAUGAACUUCCGAAAAAGUUCUGUAAAGUAUGCUUUAGGAAAAAAAAAAGUAUUUUAUUACGUUUAAAAAGACAUUUUUCCCUGAAAAGUAUUUCUUUUAUGAGCAACGGAUUAUAGAUUCAGAAAUGGAGUGAGUUUGUUCCCUCCGGCCCUCUGCAUGGUUGCGCACAUUCGGAAGCUACAGUGCACACCGUUACCCGAGACGCCCAGACGGGUGUGACCGUCGUAUUACCGUCUGUGAGAAGAGGCCGUCCGGCGAGGCAUGGACUCUGCCGUGUUGUCUGAUGGUGGAGCCUGUGAUGUUACCUGUUCCUCCUGUUGGGAAAGCUCCUGUGUGUUCUAAAAAUCACUGUGCAGACCCUGCAUUAUAUUUGAAAAGAUCUUCACGUCCCAAGUGUGCCUGCUACCCUGUCUGCAGUCCCAUUUAUGAGACAGAUAAACUGGGGUCACUUCACAGGAGAGGAAGUUCACAGUGGACUUUCCGUGAAUGGGCAGUGUGCUUAAAAUGUGUAGUUUGAUGUGACUUUCAAAAUUGGGAUUCAGCAUUUCAGGAAGCUUCUGUGCCCAUGGGAGGUGUUCGUGUGCUUGCCAUGUGUGAACUGUUUAUACUUCCAAAGAGGAGUCGUUCAGAGAGGCCACAGGCUGUCCGGGUGGGAAAGGGGGCUUGAGGCCUGCAGGCCAGAGUCUGGGCUGGGUUGGCCCCUACACAGAUGCACGACUGAGUCCCGCAGUGUCUCCUGGGCCUGUACUUCCCCGUCUGCCACAGGGUCGACAGGCCCGUCUCUGCCUGCCAGCCUGUGGUUCUAAGAGAGCAUGCACUUUAUGUAAUAAAAACCUCAACAGCUUUAAAGCAUCCUUCGAGGCUUCGCAGAUUCUUGCCGUGUAAGUGUUCACGGAGGAGGCUGUAGGUCUGCGACACCUUGUUCUUAAGAUUCGAAGUUGUGGGAGUCGGGGGGGCUUCUGUGCACUUGGUCAUCAGUAAAUAACGGAACAUUAGUGGCCGGACAAAGGCUCUUCAAGAUUGCGGUUUCUUCUAUUCUAUUUAUUUAAAGCACGCGUGCCAUGAAAAGUGCUAAGAGCUUUGGAAACGUUGAAAUAAAAUAUGUUCUCUGGUGUGGCA